CGGAGUGUAGCGCAGCCCGGUAGCGCGUCUGGUUUGGGACCAGAAUGUCGCAGGUUCGAAUCCUGCCACUCCGACCA
rnacentral:tRNA from 1 species